GAUGAACGCUGGCGGCGUGCCUAAUACAUGCAAGUCGAGCGAACAGACGAGGAGCUUGCUCCUCUGACGUUAGCGGCGGACGGGUGAGUAACACGUGGAUAACCUACCUAUAAGACUGGGAUAACUUCGGGAAACCGGAGCUAAUACCGGAUAAUAUAUUGAACCGCAUGGUUCAAUAGUGAAAGACGGUUUUGCUGUCACUUAUAGAUGGAUCCGCGCCGCAUUAGCUAGUUGGUAAGGUGACGGCUUACCAAGGCAACGAUGCGUAGCCGACCUGAGAGGGUGAUCGGCCACACUGGAACUGAGACACGGUCCAGACCCCUACGGGAGGCAGCAGUAGGGAAUCUUCCGCAAUGGGCGAAAGCCUGACGGAGCAACGCCGCGUGAGUGAUGAGGGUCUUCGGAUCGUAAAACUCUGUUAUUAGGGAAGAACAAAUGUGUAAGUAACUAUGCACGUCUUGACGGUACCUAAUCAGAAAGCCACGGCUAACUACGUG
rnacentral:rRNA from 1 species